ACAUGACUCUCGGCAACGGAUAUCUCGGCUCUCGCAUCGAUGAAGAACGUAGCGAAAUGCGAUACCUGGUGUGAAUUGCAGAAUCCCGCGAACCAUCGAGUCUUUGAACGCAAGUUGCGCCCGAGGCCUUCGGGCCGAGGGCACACCUGCCUGGGCGUCACGC
rnacentral:rRNA from 1 species